UACAUAGGCAGCAAGCGUUGUUCGGAGUUACUGGGCGUAAAGGGUGCGUAGGCGGCUUUUUAAGUUUGGUGUGAAAUCUCCCGGCUCAACUGGGAGGGUGCGCCGAAUACUGAGAGGCUAGAGUGUGGGAGAGGAAAGUGGAAUUCCUGGUGUAGCGGUGAAAUGCGUAGAUAUCGUAAGGAAGACCAGUGGCGAAAGCGAGUCUCUGGCUAGAAACUGACGCUGAGGCACGAAAGCUGGGGGAGCAAACGGG
rnacentral:rRNA from 1 species